AACGUCGUGAGACAGUUCGGUCCCUAUCUGCCGUGGGCGUUGGAUGAUUGAAGGGGGCUGCUCCUAGUACGAGAGGACCGGAGUGGACGAACCUCUGGUGUUCGGGUUGUCACGCCAGUGGCAUUGCCCGGUAGCUAAGUUCGGAAUCGAUAAACGCUGAAAGCAUCUAAGCGUGAAGCGAGCCCUGAGAUGAGUCAUCCCUGAUACUUUAAGUAUCCUAAAGGGUUGUUGGAGACUACGACGUAGAUAGGUCAGGUGUGUAAGUGCUGCGAGGCAUUGAGCUAACUGAUACUAAUUGCCCGUGAGGCUUAACCAUACAACACCC
rnacentral:rRNA from 1 species